rnacentral:rRNA from 1 species
GAGUAGGGCGGGACACGUGGUAUCCUGUCUGAAUAUGGGGGGACCAUCCUCCAAGGCUAAAUACUCCUGACUGACCGAUAGUGAACCAGUACCGUGAGGGAAAGGCGAAAAGAACCCCGGCGAGGGGAGUGAAAAAGAACCUGAAACCGUGUACGUACAAGCAGUGGGAGCCUCUUAAUGGGGUGACUGCGUACCUUUUGUAUAAUGGGUCAGCGACUUAUAUUCUGUAGCAAGGUUAACCGAAUAGGGGAGCCGAAGGGAAACCGAGUCUUAACUGGGCGUUAAGUUGCAGGGUAUAGACCCGAAACCCGGUGAUCUAGCCAUGGGCAGGUUGAAGGUUGGGUAACACUAACUGGAGGACCGAACCGACUAAUGUUGAAAAAUUAGCGGAUGACUUGUGGCUGGGGGUGAAAGGCCAAUCAAACCGGGAGAUAGCUGGUUCUCCCCGAAAGCUAUUUAGGUAGCGCCUCGUGAAUUCAUCUCCGGGGGUAGAGCACUGUUUCGGCAAGGGGGUCAUCCCGACUUACCAACCCGAUGCAAACUGCGAAUACCGGAGAAUGUUAUCACGGGAGACACACGGCGGGUGCUAACGUCCGUCGUGAAGAGGGAAACAACCCAGACCGCCAGCUAAGGUCCCAAAGUCAUGGUUAAGUGGGAAACGAUGUGGGAAGGCCCAGACAGCCAGGAUGUUGGCUUAGAAGCAGCCAUCAUUUAAAGAAAGCGUAAUAGCUCACUGGUCGAGUCGGCCUGCGCGGAAGAUGUAACGGGGCUAAACCAUGCACCGAAGCUGCGGCAGCGACACUAUGUGUUGUUGGGUAGGGGAGCGUUCUGUAAGCCUGUGAAGGUGGCCUGUGAGGGUUGCUGGAGGUAUCAGAAGUGCGAAUGCUGACAUAAGUAACGAUAAAGCGGGUGAAAAGCCCGCUCGCCGGAAGACCAAGGGUUCCUGUCCAACGUUAAUCGGGGCAGGGUGAGUCGACCCCUAAGGCGAGGCCGAAAGGCGUAGUCGAUGGGAAACAGGUUAAUAUUCCUGUACUUGGUGUUACUGCGAAGGGGGGACGGAGAAGGCUAUGUUGGCCGGGCGACGGUUGUCCCGGUUUAAGCGUGUAGGCUGGUUUUCCAGGCAAAUCCGGAAAAUCAAGGCUGAGGCGUGAUGACGAGGCACUACGGUGCUGAAGCGACAAAUGCCCUGCUUCCAGGAAAAGCCUCUAAGCAUCAGGUAACAUCAAAUCGUACCCCAAACCGACACAGGUGGUCAGGUAGAGAAUACCAAGGCGCUUGAGAGAACUCGGGUGAAGGAACUAGGCAAAAUGGUGCCGUAACUUCGGGAGAAGGCACGCUGAUAUGUAGGUGAAGCGACUUGCUCGUGGAGCUGAAAUCAGUCGAAGAUACCAGCUGGCUGCAACUGUUUAUUAAAAACACAGCACUGUGCAAACACGAAAGUGGACGUAUACGGUGUGACGCCUGCCCGGUGCCGGAAGGUUAAUUGAUGGGGUUAGCGGUAACGCGAAGCUCUUGAUCGAAGCCCCGGUAAACGGCGGCCGUAACUAUAACGGUCCUAAGGUAGCGAAAUUCCUUGUCGGGUAAGUUCCGACCUGCACGAAUGGCGUAAUGAUGGCCAGGCUGUCUCCACCCGAGACUCAGUGAAAUUGAACUCGCUGUGAAGAUGCAGUGUACCCGCGGCAAGACGGAAAGACCCCGUGAACCUUUACUAUAGCUUGACACUGAACA